GUAACUGAGUUAUGCUCCCUUCACUGUUGAUAGAAAUAAAGUCAGAUUAAAAACAUUUUUAGGCCAGGCGUGCUGGCUUACACCUGUAAUCCCGGCACUUUGGGAGGCUGAGGGGAAUGGAUCGCUUGAGCCCAGGAUUUCAAAAUCAGCCUAGGCAACAAGGUGAGACCCAUCUCUAGAAAAAAUACAAAAAAAAUUAGCUGGGUGUGGUGGUGCACACCUGUGGUCCCAGCUAUUCAGCAGGCUGAGGUGGGAGGAUCGCUUGAGCCCACAAAGUCGAGGCUGUAGUGACCGAGAUCACGCCUCUGCACUCCAGUCUAAGUGACAGAGUGGGACCCUGUCUCAAAAAAAAAAAAAAAAAAAAAAAAAAUUAGAUCAGUCUCUGUGCUCUGAUGUGAUCAAAGGUCUUAGCUGAUUUUUUAAACCUAAACUUAUAGGAGAAU
rnacentral:lncRNA from 10 species